rnacentral:rRNA from 1 species
GAUGAACGCUGGCGGCGUGCCUAAUACAUGCAAGUCGAGCGAACAGACGAGGAGCUUGCUCCUCUGACGUUAGCGGAGGACGGGUGAGAAACACGUGGAUAAUCUCCCUAUAAGACUGGGAUCAUUUCGGGAAACCGGCGCUAAUACCGGAUAAUAUAUUGCACCGCAUGGUUCAAUAGAGAAAGACGGUUUUGCUGUAUGUUCUCGAUGGAUCCGCGCCGCAUUAGCUAGUUGGUAAGGUAACGGCUUACCAAGGCAACGAUGCGUAGCCGACCUGAGAGGGUGAUCGGCCGCACUGGAGCUGAGACACGGUCCAGACUCCUACGGGAGGCAGCAGUAGGGAAUCUUCCGCAAUGGGCGCAAGCCUGACGGAGCAACGCCGCGUGAGUGAUGAAGGUCUUCGGAUCGUAAAACUCUGUUAUUAGGGAAGAACAAAUGUGUAAGUAACUAUGCACGGCUUGACGGUACCUAAUCAGAAAGCCACGGCUAACUACGUG